ACCGUCCAACAUGGUAUUUGUUCUUCAAAGACCACUGUCAAACCUCUCCCCAUCUCAGAGGACAAGGAGUUCAGCCACAGGGAUGAGCUCAGCAAGAACCCAGCUAAGUCAUCAAGCUGUUGAAGGAAAGGCCUGCCACUUCAUCCAUCCAGACAUUGACAUUCUCGUGUGACCUCAUGGAGCAUGGUCAGAGCUCAACAAGCUACCUGUGACUCUGCGAUUAAGUUCUGGCCAAUGCGAUGUAGGGGGAUGUGUCAGGUCGGACAUCAUGGAAGUUUCCUUAAAAGA